rfam:Corchorus capsularis cultivar CVL-1 contig06963, whole genome shotgun sequence.
GAUCUUUUGGCCGAGUGAUUAAGGUGUGUACCUGCUAAAUACAUGGGGCAUCCUCACGAGAGUUCGAAUCUCUUGGGUAUCG